CUACGGGGCGCACCAGUGGGGAAUAUUGCACAAUGGGCGCAAGCCUGAUGCAGCCAUGCCGCGUGUAUGAAGAAGGCCUUCGGGUUGUAAAGUACUUUCAGCGGGGAGGAAGGGAGUAAAGUUAAUACCUUUGCUCAUUGACGCUACCCGCAGAAGAAGCACCGGCUAACUCCGUGCCAGCAGCCGCGGUAAUACGGAGGGUGCAAGCGUUAAUCGGAAUUACUGGGCGUAAAGCGCACGCAGGCGGUUUGUUAAGUCAGAUGUGAAAUCCCCGGGCUCAACCUGGGAACUGCAUCUGAUACUGGCAAGCUUGAGUCUCGUAGAGGGGGGUAGAAUUCCAGGUGUAGCGGUGAAAUGCGUAGAGAUCUGGAGGAAUACCGGUGGCGAAGGCGGCCCCCUGGACGAAGACUGACGCUCAGGUGCGAAAGCGUGGGGAGCAAACAGGAUUAGAUACCCCAGUAGUC
rnacentral:rRNA from 1 species